GGAUUUGAGGACAAUCUGGCUGCAGCAUCUGUCACCCUACUGAUGGCCAGUGUUGACUCGGCUGAUCUGGCUGACUAGGCAGGGGUCCUCUUUCUCCCUCUCUGCUCCAUGAGCAUCCCUCCCAAAGCUGCACCUCCUGAGAGAACAAUAAAUCACCCCCAAUAAAGGAGGACCAUCCCUUGGCCAAGGGUAUGUGAGUAGCUGCGCUUCCCUGCUAGAACAUCCAAAUUAGCUCUCGAGAUCUGUCCCUGCCUUGAACUCAUUAUGUAGCCCGGGCUGACCCAAGCUUAAAGCAAUCCUCCUGCCUCAGCCUCUCAAUUGCUGAGAUGAC
rnacentral:sRNA from 1 species